rnacentral:rRNA from 1 species
UCCAGACUCCUACGGGAGGCAGCAGUGGGGAAUAUUGCACAAUGGGGGAAACCCUGAUGCAGCGACGCCGCGUGAGCGAUGAAGUAUUUCGGUAUGUAAAGCUCUAUCAGCAGGGAAGAAAAUGACGGUACCUGACUAAGAAGCCCCGGCUAACUACGUGCCAGCAGCCGCGGUAAUACGUAGGGGGCAAGCGUUAUCCGGAUUUACUGGGUGUAAAGGGGGCGCAGAUGGCGAUGCAAGCCAGGAGUGAAAGCCUGGGGCCCAACCCCGGGACUGCUCUUGGAACUGCGUGGCUGGAGUGCAGGAGGGGCAGGCGGAAUUCCUGGUGUAGCGGUGAAAUGCGUAGAUAUCAGGAGGAACACCGGUGGCGAAGGCGGCCUGCUGGACUGCAACUGACGUUGAGGCCCGAAAGCGUGGGGAGCAAACAGGAUUAGAUACCCUCGUAC